ensembl:lincRNA Gm15734 predicted gene 15734
AGCCCAGCACGCGUGGAGCGGUGGCGCUGCCAACCGCGCAGGAGCCUUGUGACAAGAUUGAGGGAUUCAGAGAGACCAGAGACUCCGGGGUGUCGCUCCUCUCUAGACCCCUGUCGACACCCUAGGGAUAUCUCUUAUAAGGAUCCACGCCUCAGAAUGAAUUUCUACAAGAUUAGGGUUUGCUGAAAUGGCAGAGAGGAAAGAGGCCUGAGGGUACAUCAGAGGUGAACUUCAGUAACACACAACAGUCACAGAACUACAUCAACAGCACCACAGCUACAGGCAUACGUUCUACAUAGAUUUUUCUUCUUGCAAGUAAACCAGAUUGCAAUAUUAAAUGACCGAAAAAUUUAAAUCCUCUAAGCACAAAAAUGUUAGUAAGUAUGAUUUCAAGUAGUGAAUGUUUGAAACAUAAAUUUUAUAUAAGCGGAAUGAAAUAUUAUAAAAGUGUUUCUAUAUGAACCUCGGAAUGAGAACAAUUCUAGAAAAUGUGCGUGUGGAUUAUGCACUCCGGAACACGGAUAUUCUUGAAAACAAUUUGACAGCAUACUAAGAUAUUUUUACUCAGUCAGGGAACAUGAUGGAAGAGGAGACCAAACAAAUAUAAGAGCCAGAAGGAAGAUAAAGAGGAGGGCUGCCUCAGGCUAUCUCUAAGUACCACAUAGCCUUCACAGUCCUGAAUUCACAUCAGCCACGCCCAGUGCACUGGGCUGUUAACAGGAAAUCAUGGGUCCCAGGGGACUGUAGCUCUCCUUCAUGAACUAUUGACUACUGAUGAAUUCUGGAGGAGGGACAGUUAUUGCGUUCACUUGUGUCCCCAGAAGUGAGCCCACCAGGCUCUACUGGUUAGCUACCAACCCGCGUUCACACAGAUGUCCCUGGUUAUGCUCAGGUGGUGACAAGACAGAACAAAAAAGCAAGCAUUGAGUGUAGAAAGGGACCUGUCGGGGAAAACAGGAAUGGGAGGAAGAUAAGGGAGGGAAAAGUGGGAGGCACCACAGCACAUUAUAAACAUAUUUGAAAUUGCCAAAGAAUAAACUU